AUUGAACGCUGGCGGCAGGCUUAACACAUGCAAGUCGAGCGGGGUGAUGGUGCUUGCACUAUCACUUAGCGGCGGACGGGUGAGUAAUGCUUAGGAAUCUGCCUAUUAGUGGGGGACAACAUCUCGAAAGGGAUGCUAAUACCGCAUACGUCCUACGGGAGAAAGCAGGGGAUCACUUGUGACCUUGCGCUAAUAGAUGAGCCUAAGUCGGAUUAGCUAGUUGGUGGGGUAAAGGCCUACCAAGGCGACGAUCUGUAGCGGGUCUGAGAGGAUGAUCCGCGACACUGGGACUGAGACACGGCCCAGACUCCUACGGGAGGCAGCAGUGGGGAAUAUUGGACAAUGGGGGGAACCCUGAUCCAGCCAUGCCGCGUGUGUGGAGAAGGCCUUAUGGUUGUAAAGCACUUUAAGCGAGGAGGAGGCUCUUUUGGUUAAUACCCAAGAUGAGUGGACGUUACUUGCAGAAUAAGCACCGGCUAACUCUGUGCCAGCCGCCGCAGUAA
rnacentral:rRNA from 1 species